rnacentral:rRNA from 1 species
UCGUAACAAGGUCUCCGUUGGUGAACCAGCGGAGGGAUCAUUACUGAGUUUACGCUCUACAACCCUUUGUGAACAUACCUAUAACUGUUGCUUCGGCGGGUAGGGUCUCCGUGACCCUCCCGGCCUCCCGCCCCCGGGCGGGUCGGCGCCCGCCGGAGGAUAACCAAACUCUGAUUUAACGACGUUUCUUCUGAGUGGUACAAGCAAAUAAUCAAAACUUUUAACAACGGAUCUCUUGGUUCUGGCAUCGAUGAAGAACGCAGCGAAAUGCGAUAAGUAAUGUGAAUUGCAGAAUUCAGUGAAUCAUCGAAUCUUUGAACGCACAUUGCGCCCGCCAGCAUUCUGGCGGGCAUGCCUGUUCGAGCGUCAUUUCAACCCUCAAGCUCUGCUUGGUGUUGGGGCCCUACAGCUGAUGUAGGCCCUCAAAGGUAGUGGCGGACCCUCCCGGAGCCUCCUUUGCGUAGUAACUUUACGUCUCGCACUGGGAUCCGGAGGGACUCUUGCCGUAAAACCCCCCAAUUUCCAAAGGUGA